GGCUGUAGCUCAGUGGUAGAGUAUCUGCCUUGCAUGCAGAAGGCCUCAGGUUCAAUCCCUGACAUAGCCA